AUGGAUCAACUACUGAGGCCAAGUCCCCUGUAGAAGAUAAGGAUGACCACAAACUGAAGAGUGAAUCCUGGCAUAUGAAAGAUCAAGAUGAUCUUGGUCCUGCUCGAUUUUUGCCCCCUCUGCCUCAUCACAGAUUGCAUUCUAAAGCAAGUCUUGCUUUUAACCAACCUGAGCAACUUAAACCUGCGGAAGGUUUAGGGGUCAACCAUCCUUUUGCUACGAGAGAGUUCACUGGGCAACCCGUGUCAUUGCAGUCUGAAGUAACU
rnacentral:misc_RNA from 1 species